UUAAUGGAGAGUUUGAUCCUGGCUCAGGACGAACGCUGGCGGCGUGCCUAAUACAUGCAAGUCGAGCGAG
rnacentral:rRNA from 1 species